AUAUUUAACAAAUACUCAAAAUUAUUAGGGUAAAUCUCUUGUGCAACGACACUUGGAACAAUCCUCACAUUCUCUUUCCAAGAAAUACGCAACGCACUCCAAGGUUGAAAGUACAAGAUUCAAGAAUCGAGCUAGGAUGAACUCUAGAAACCCACAUAACAUUUGAAUUAUUGUUGAACAAUAUGUUGUAUUGUUUGGAACUAUGUAUUUCACUUUAGAGUUUAUGAAAUGAAUUAAAUAAAUUAUUGUCACAUUUAGUGUUA